rnacentral:rRNA from 1 species
UGCUUUCUUUCGAACGAAGGUUUGAAAAGAACACUUCUCACGAUGAUGAGGAGGCGCAAAAAGGGUUUACGCGAGAGUGUGAGCCUUUCUUAACAAUGCAAAUGAGAUAGAAUGCAAGCCAGUAUAAAUGCUUGUGAGGAUUUCUUAAGGAAUUAAGAAAACCCGUUAAUAAAUCAAAGUAUAUUUUUUUCUGAGAAUUUGAUCUUGGUUCAGAUUGAACGCUGGCGGCGUGGAUGAGGCAUGC